AUACGGGAGGGAGAUCUGGCGGUGACAUAGGUCACCAUGAUUGUCAGGGUUGAUUCAGCUGGUCUGGCUACUNAGGUGUGAGUCCUCUUCCUCCUUCAGUCACCAAUAUGUGUGUGUCCCUCCCAAAGCAGCUCACUGGCUGCUCUUGCAGAGAACACUGGUCCCAUUCUCAGCAC
rnacentral:snRNA from 1 species